AUUGAACGCUGGCGGCAGGCCUAACACAUGCAAGUCGAGCGAGCGGCGGACGGGUGAGUUAUGUCUGGGUACCCGCCCGCUGGUGAGGGAUAACUCCUGGCAACGCUAGCUAAUAUCCCGCAUCAUCAGUUCUGUCCCGAUGGGAUUAGCUGGUGGGUGGGGUAACGGCUCACCUAGGCGACCAUCCCUAGCUGGGCUGAGAGGAGGACCAGCCACACUGGAACUGAGACACGGUCCAGACUCCGACGGGAGGCAGCAGUGGGGAAUAUUGCACAAUGGGCGAAAGCCUGAUGCAGCCAUGCCGCGUGUGUGAAGAAGGCCUUCGGGUUGUAAAGCACUUUCAGCGGGGAGGCGUUACCCGCAGAAGAAGCACCGGCUAACUCCGUGCCAGCAGCCGCGGUAAUUC
rnacentral:rRNA from 1 species